GCCACUGCUCUACACAAAAUGAGAAAACGCUUCUCACUGGUUAAAGAGGGGUGAUGCUUCUGGAAAGGACACAGUCCCCAGUAAUGGAAACAACUCCACGCCUUGCCUCUGCUUGAAGAGCAAAGACUGAAGUUUCCAGAUGAAGACACCAUUAUGUCUCAAGACUGGAACAUGGAAACCCUGCCUGAAUUUUCUACUUGCUGACCUACCCCACAGAUUCAGACACUAGCCUGCAACAUCAACCUGUACUUGAAUUUCCAGUCUGAGUGUCUGCCCUACAGAUUUUGGACUUGCCAGCCCCCACAAUUGCAUGAGCAAAUUUUAAAAAAUAGUCUUCUUUCUUUCUCUCUCUCCAUCUCAUUGGUUCUCUUUUCCUCCUGCAUACCCUGAUUAACGCAGCAUCCAAACUAAAUGCAACAUACCAAAAAAUUUUAAGAGCAUGAAAAAGGAAGAGGUAGGGAUGACAGGCACCUAUUAUUAAAACUUCCUAUGUUGUUAAGAACGUUGAAUUUCCUCCUUGACAUUUAAAAGGACUGCACCUCAGGUUUUUUUCUUUCAGUUUUAACUCAAAAAUGUAUAAUUGGGAUUAUGGUAAUAACACAAUUGCUUAAGACAAAAUAUUAUCCCAGCAAAAAAAACUGGGAUAGUACUGUGACGUCUUUUUUUUCUUUCUUUCUUUCUUUCUUUUUUUGAGACAGAGUUUUGCUGUUGUUACCUAGGCUGGAGUGCAAUGGCACAAUCUCGGCUCACCGCAAUCUCCGCUUCCUGGGUUCAAGCAAUUCUCCUGCCUCAGCCUCCCGAGUAGCGGAUUACAGGCACGCGCCACCAUGCCCAGCUAAGGUACAUAUCUGGGUACUAGAGAUGCAACAGAGAACAAAAUCAGCAAGACUUCCUGAUCUCCUGGAGCUUGUAAUCUAACAGGUAUUUGUCUGGGGAUGGCUGUGCA
rnacentral:lncRNA from 1 species